GUGUUCGAUGAUGAUUUUUUACUUGUAUGCCUGAUCCUUUUGACAGUGAAGGCAUCUUCAGUCACUACCUCUUCUGAGACAC
ensembl:snoRNA